rnacentral:misc_RNA from 1 species
AACGCACCUUGCGCCCUUUGGCUAUUCCGAAGGGCAUGCCUGUUUGAGUAUCAUGAACACCUCAACUCCUCAUGGUUUGCCAUGAUGAGCUUGGACUUUGGGGGUCUUGCUGGCCUGUGGUCGGCUCCUCUCAAAUGAAUCAGCUUGCCAGUGUUUGGUGGCAUCACGGGUGUGAUAACUAUCUACGCUUGUGGUUCUCUGCCAAAUAACCUUCAGCAGUGGGGGUUCACUGGAGCUCAUAAACGUCUUUCCUCAGUGGGGGACAGCUCUAUGAAUGUUUGAUCUCAAAUCAGGUAGGACUACCCGCUGAACUUAA